rnacentral:rRNA from 1 species
GACUCUGGGCAAUCGAUGCCUUUGCUAGUGUGUCUACAAAGAACGCAACUAGCUGUAGGAGUUAUUGUGAAUGACAGGACAUAUUGAUCACUGACAGUUUAAACACACUUGUGGCUCCCGGUCACCUCAGGGCUAUGCCUGUCUGAGCAUCA